UACAGAGGUCUCAACCGUUGUUCGGAUUCAUUGGGCGUAAAGGGUGCGUAGGCGGCGGGGUAAGUCAGGUGUGAAAUCUCGGGGCUCAACCCCGAAACUGCACUUGAUACUGCCUCGCUUGAGUACUGGAGAGGAGACUGGAAUUUACGGUGUAGCAGUGAAAUGCGUAGAUAUCGUUUGGAACGCCAAUGGUGAAGACAGGUUGCUGGGAGUGUGCUGACGCUGAGACACGAAAGCCAGGGGAGCGAACGGG
rnacentral:rRNA from 1 species